UUCCGGUUGAUCCUGCCGGAGGUCACUGCUAUUGGGAUUCGACUAAGCCAUGCGAGUCGAGAGGGUUCGGCCCUCGGCAGACGGCUCAGUAACACGUGGAUAAUCUGCCCUUAGGUGGAGGAUAACCUCGGGAAACUGAGAAUAAUACUCCAUAGAUCUAGGAUGCUGGAAUGCACUUAGAUUGAAAGUUCCGGCGCCUAAGGAUGAGUCUGCGGACUAUCAGGUAGUAGUCAGGGUAAAGGCCUGACUAGCCUACGACGGAUACGGGUUGUGAGAGCAAUAACCCGGAGACGAUAUCUGAGACACGAUAUCGGGCCCUACGGGGCGCAGCAGGCGCGAAACCUUCACAAUGUGCGAAAGCGCGAUGAGGGGAUCCCAAGUGCUUGCUCGUAAGAGUAAGCUGUUUUUAUGUCUAAAACGCAUAGAGAGUAAGGGCUGGGUAAGACGGGUGCCAGCCGCCGCGGUAAUACCUGCAGCUCAAGUGGUGACCGCUAUUAUUGGGCCUAAAACAUUCGUAGCCGGUUUGGUAAAUGCCUGGGUAAAUCGUGUAGCUUAACUAUACGAAUUCCGGGUAGACUGCCAAACUUGAGACCGGGAGAAGCUAGAGGUACUCCUUGGGUAGAGGUGAAAUUCUGUAAUCCUAGGGGGACCACCAGUGGCGAAGGCGUCUAGCUAGAACGGGUUUGACGGUGAGGAAUGAAGCCCUGGGGCGCAAACCGGAUUAGAUACCCGGGUAGUCCAGGGUGUAAACGCUGCUUGCUUGAUGUUAGUUGGGCUCCGAGCCCAAUUAGUGUCGGAGAGAAGUUGUUAAGCAAGCGGCCUGGGAAGUACGAUCGCAAGAUUGAAACUUAAAGGAAUUGGCGGGGGAGCACAGCAACGGGUGGAGCGUGCGGUUUAAUUGGAAUCAACGCCGGA
rnacentral:rRNA from 1 species